AAGUCGUAACAAGGUUUCCGUAGGUGAACCUGCGGAAGGAUCAUUAACAAAUCCGCCGGGUAGCUAUAUGUAUGUAUGGGUGCCUGGCACGUUUGCGCUCCCAUGGGGUAUACCGUGGGAUGCACACAUGUCUUUAAGCAUUAUUGUUUUAUGAUAACACAUAUGUGGGAUAGUAAAUAUUACAAACACUUUUAACAAUGGAUCUCUUGGCUCUU
rnacentral:misc_RNA from 1 species